UACGUAGGGGGCAAGCGUUGUCCGGAAUCAUUGGGCGUAAAGAGCGCGUAGGCGGUCCGAUAAGUCGGUUGUGAAAACUGGGGGCUCAACCCUCAGAGGCCGACCGAUACUGUCGGGCUAGAGUCCGGAAGAGGCGAGUGGAAUUCCUGGUGUAGCGGUGAAAUGCGCAGAUGUCAGGAGGAACACCGGUGGCGAAGGCGGUUCUCUGGGCAUUACCUGACGCUGAGGAGCGAAAGUGUGGGGAGCGAACAGG
rnacentral:rRNA from 1 species